CAGCCGCCGCGGGAAAACGUAGGUGGCAAGCGUUGUCCGGAAUUAUUGGGCGUAAAGGGCUCGCAGGCGGUUUCUUAAGUCUGAUGUGAGAGCCCCUGGCUCAACCGGGGAGGGUCAUUGGAAACUGGGAAACUUGAGUGCAGAAGAGGAGAGUGGAAUUCCACGUGUAGCGGUGAAAUGCGCAGAGAUGUGGAGGAACACCAGUGGCGAAGGCGACUCUCUGGUCUGUAACUGACGCUGAGGAGCGAAAGCGUGGGGAGCGAACAGGAUUAGAUACCCAGUAGUCCCUGUCUCUUAUACA
rnacentral:rRNA from 1 species